rnacentral:rRNA from 1 species
GACGAACGCUGGCGGCGUGCUUAACACAUGCAAGUCGAGCGGAGCGGCGAACGGGUGAGUAACGCGUGAGUAACUGCCCCCCCCUCUGGGAUAACAGUUGGAAACGGCUGCCAAUACCGGAUAGUGGGGGAUGACUCGCGUCUUAUCGGCUUGUUGGUUGGGUAGUGGCCUACCAAGGCGACGACGGGUAGCCGGCCUGAGAGGGCGACCGGCCACAUUGGGCUGAGAUACGGCCCAGACUCCUACGGGCGGCAGCAGUGGGGAGUAUUACGCAAUGGGGGAAACCCUGAUGCAGGAACGCCGCGUGCGGGAUGACGGCCUUCGGGUUGUAAACCGCUUUCAGCCAUGACGCGGUAGUGGCAGAAGAAGCAACGGCUAACGACGUGCCAGCAGCCGCGGUAAUUC